CAAGAUGGCCUGGAAACGCAAGGUUGCAGAGUGUUAUAGAGCAUUAAUGUGUACUUUGAGAAAAAGGGAAAAAAGGUCAUGCAUGUUAAUAAUUUUACAUGGCAAAUAUGGAGGAAAUCAUGGAAUUCCCCAGAAUUUAAAGCUCGGAGUGAGAAAUUUGCUGCAAACCAGCUUAAUGAGACUAGAGGACCUCGAUGUGGAUAUCUCAGCGCACAGGAGGCUCAAUUUCCUAUGCCUCUCAUGAGGAGAGACUGCGAUUGAAGCUUGGCCGUGACCCUCUUCCAUAUGAGCCUUUUGAAGUGACCCAUAUAAGGAAGGGACUUCAGAGCUUGUUAAUGCAUGAUCUAAGGCAACUAAGGAUCAUUACUUGGAGCAUAUGGAGCAGGCAUCUUAAACACAAGCAUGGCAUGGUGAGCACCUUGUUGUGGAUGAAGCAAUAAUAUACUGUGAAGCUGUGGGGGGAGAAAAAAAUGCAGGGUGUAUGGAGUAGGAUCCCAGAGAUCUAUUUUUUAUCCCUAAUUAUCUCAGAGCUUGUCUACCGGUACAUUAACCAAGGUAGCACAGGCUGAGAUUAGAGAGCUGCUUCAAAUAGUAUUUAGUUACAAGAUAACAAUAGACAACUUCAGUAGAGUCUGUGCAAGAUGAAAGAUGAGAAGGGCCAAAAUCGGGAGGAUAUUAUGCAUUUAGAGACCAGGAUCUUUCAAUGCUUAUAGUUUACAAAUCAUGACUCAACCAUUUAGUGAUAAUCAUGAUGUUGAACUUGUAGGUGAUCUGCAAUUUUAUUUGUC